GCGCGGCACCGGACAGGCCGUCUCACCCGGUCCCCCUCUCCUCUCCCACCCCACUUGCUUCCAUCUCCGCCGUCUCCCCCGUCUCCCCUCCCAUCCACCCCCACCACUCCUCCGCCAGCCGCGUCCUCCCGGGCUCGGUGAGGAACUGUUCCUGGAGGAGCCGCGGGAUGCCGAAACCAGCCAAUGGGAAGCAGCGAGACGCGGAGAUUGGCACGGUGGAUGGGAAGUGAGUUCCUGGCUUGUCUGUCGGUGCAGCGCCAGAAGCAAGCUGCAGAACAGGAGUUACUGGGGACGGCAGUGACCAUGAAUCCCAAAGGAGGGUGAAGGCUGGGAGAGAAUGAGUCAAUGACCUGGAACAGGAAGCUGAAUCAACUCUUUCAGCAAGACUUAAAAGAAAAGAUUUUGGUUUUAUAAUCUCUAAAGCCUAAAAGAUACUGAAGCUUCCAGAAUGAGUCAGUACCUAAGAUAGUGUUAUUAGAUACAGUAAUUACUGGAAUGAUAAAAUCCUUGUU
rnacentral:lncRNA from 1 species